rnacentral:rRNA from 1 species
UACGGGGGGAGCAAGCGUUGUUCGGAUUUACUGGGCGUAAAGGGCGCGUAGGCGGCCAGCGCAAGUCAGUUGUGAAAUCUCCGGGCUUAACUCGGAAAGGUCAACUGAUACUGCGGGGCUAGAGUGCGGAAGGGGCAACUGGAAUUCUCGGUGUAGCGGUGAAAUGCGUAGAUAUCGAGAGGAACACCUGCGGCGAAGGCGGGUUGCUGGGCCGACACUGACGCUGAGGAGCGAAAGCGUGGGGAGCAAACAGGA